GACUCGCCGGCGGAGGGGCCCGGCGGCCCGGCCGCCGCGCCCGGCCCCGAGGGGAUCGCCGGUCUCUCCGACAGCGACGACGACGACUCCUCCAACUGAUCCGACCGACGGCGUCGGCUUUUUUUUUGUCAACGAUCCGUUUGCUUGAUUUGGAGCAAGCUAAUAAGCAAUAUGGUCGUCGCCAUAUGAUUAUGAACAUGUUCUCUUUUCGCUUUUCAUCUCGACGAAAUGCCGCCAUGAUCUCAUCCUAUAUAUAGUUUAGUUUGUAAUUGCAACCUAUCAUUGUAUGUUUCAAAUUUAAUUGAUCAUACUUCCGUCUCAAACAUUCUAAUGUUAUUUAGAUUUAUAUAGAUGCUAAUUAAUUAUAUAUACAAUUAAUAUACA
rnacentral:lncRNA from 1 species